UGGCUGAAGGAAUGUGCGAAGUUACAAAGGAGAACUUUUCGUCUUUGCUUCCGGAAAUCAGAGAGCUAGUAGACGAAGCUAAGUUCAUAGCAAUCGAUGCAGAAUUUACCGGCAUUUCUCUCCAGACAUCCAACAACUUUAGUUUACGUGAUGGCGGGUCUUCGCGCUACGGAAAGUUGAAAGCCAUUGCAAAGGAAUUCAGUUUGUGUCAAAUUGGCUUGUCAAUAUUUGUCAAAGAAAAAGAUGAGAACCAAUUCAUUGCUCAUACUUAUACAUUCUACUUAUUCCCUGAUCAUACAGGCUCAGAAGAUGUUCGAUUUGGUAUUCAAGUUUCCAGUCUGUCAUUUCUUAGACAGCACGGCUUCAAUUUUAACAAGUGGAUUCAAAAUGGAAUUGGUUACUUGAAUAAUCAGCAAGAGAAAGCACUUCGAGAAGCGUCAUUGGAAAGCAGUGAUGAUGCAAUAGUACAAAAGUUUCGUGAGAUUGUGGGGUGGUUGAGAAAUGCGAAGUGUGGUGAUCAAUUGCAGUUGGAAGCAAAACACUUUAGUUUUACGGUACGGAUGCAGUCUAUUAUGGAUAAGUUACUUCCACCUAACAAAGUCGUUCUUAAAGACAUAUCUGGUCUACUUUAUGCUAAGUGUCUGGAUCCUAUUGAUGACUCGACUGUGUUGCCAGAUGAUAUUUCUGUUGCUUCAUGGGAUCAAAUUGUUGAUGAGAUGGUUGGCUUUACACAUGUGGUAAGGCACUUGUGUCAGUCUGGCAAGCCAAUUGUUGGUCACAAUGUCCUUCUAGAUCUACUCUUCAUAUGUGACAAGUUUAUCUGUGACUUACCAGAUUCUUAUGAGGAGUUCAAAGCAACUGUGCAUGCUGCUUUACCAAUUGUAUAUGAUACAAAACAGCUGUGUUAUGAAAUGAAACAGUUUGUAGCACGGGGUGAUCGUGAACUUCUUGCAUUUAGUUCAUUAGCCGAUCUCUUCUUUUCUCUCAGCAGUGCAAGAGCAUUGCAGUCACGUUUGAUGGCACCUGCAGUUGUGCACUGCACAAAGUCUUCUAUUUAUGAUGGGCAUCGACAUUGGCAUGAAGCAGGAUUUGAUGCUUAUAUGACUGGCUGUGUUUUUGUUCGUGUUCUCAGUUUUGCAUUGACAUCAGGUUUCAGAGUUGAUGAAGUCCAGAAAGCAAAGUUUUCACGAUUGUUGCAGUUGGCUAGUCCAUACAAGAAUCGAUUACGGAUUCCAAGAUCGGCUAUAUUGUAUUGUAAUCUUGAGGGACUUGACAAAAGUCGUUGUUUAUAUUAUCUUCAUGUUAGUCCACGUCAAGGAGUUAGUGAUUCUGCUUUUUCUCAGCUUGCUCAGCUUCUGUCAGGCUUUGGUGCAGUUGAAUCACAUCAGUUGGACAGACAGCGAGCUCUAGUUGUUGCAGGCAGUAAGAAAUGUGGAGACAUGCUUCUACAGGAUUUUGAAGGCAGUGACGUGUUUAUUAUGCGUCCAUACUGGUUCUUUGAUUCUCCUUUUGUUCGGUCAGCAGCUCGCUGGAUUUGUGUUGUGGGUGUCAUUCUGCUUGCUAGUGGUUACAAAUACGUGAAACUGAGAUAAUGGCAGAGCAGAGAAGAUUAAGUUUGUGAGACUUAUCUUUGUGACACUUACCAUGGCAUAUAUGGCAACGAUGCUGCAAUUAUGCAAGACAGUAAAACUUCAUUAUUGGCUACUUGUUGUGUUUGUUUGUUCACCUUUGGUACAUAUAUCGAAACAGUGAAGUCAAAUCAUGUUAUUAGAUUUGAAAUGGACCUAAAAUGCUGUGUAUUUUGUCUUCAGAAUUAAUACCAUUGAAAUUUAU